rnacentral:rRNA from 1 species
GAUGAACGCUAGCGGCAGGCUUAACACAUGCAAGUCGAGGGGUAUAGUUCUUCGGGCUUAGUGGCGGACGGGUGAGUAACACGUGGGAACGUGCCCUUUGGUUCGGAACAACUCAGGGAAACUUGAGCUAAUACCGGAUGUGCCCUUCGGGGGAAAGAUUUAUCGCCAUUGGAGCGGCCCGCGUCUGAUUAGCUAGUUGGUGGGGUAAAGGCCCACCAAGGCGACGAUCAGUAGCUGGUCUGAGAGGAUGAUCAGCCACAUUGGGACUGAGACACGGCCCAAACUCCUACGGGAGGCAGCAGUGGGGAAUCUUGCGCAAUGGGCGAAAGCCUGACGCAGCCAUGCCGCGUGAAUGAUGAAGGUCUUAGGAUUGUAAAAUUCUUUCACCGGGGACGAUAAUGACGGUACCCGGAGAAGAAGCCCCGGCUAACUUCGUGCCAGCAGCCGCCGAACAC